ACACCGGCGGCCCGAGUGGUGAUCACUAUUAUUGGGUCUAAAGGGUCCGUAGCCGGUUUGAUCAGUCUUUUGGGAAAUCUGACAGCUCAACUGUUAGGCUUCCAAGGGAUACUGUCAGACUUGGGACCGGGAGAGGUAAGGGGUACCACAGGGGUAGGAGUGAAAUCUUGUAAUCCCUGUGGGACCACCGGUGGCGAAGGCGCCUUACCAGAACGGGUCCGACGGUGAGGGACGAAAGCUGGGGGAACGAACCGGAUUAGAUACCCGGGUAGUACCAGCCGUAAACGAUGUUCGCUAGGUGUCAUGGAUGGUGCGACCGUUCAUGGUGCCGCAGGGAAGCCGUGAAGCGAACCACCUGGGAAGUACGGCCGCAAGGCUGAA
rnacentral:rRNA from 2 species